CAAUCCUUCUGACUCAGUCCUUCCUGGUGGUGCACACCUUAUUCAGCCAAGAUGGAUGCCAGAGAGAAGGAUUCUGGGAGGUGGUUGGACAUGUGGUGUCUCCUUUUGACCUUUCCUGAACUCUUCCGGUUGGUGCUCUUGCUGAACUCCUCCCCUGACUCCAUCAGCGUCAUCACCUGUCCCUGCUGCCACCACCGUCCGCGACAGGGACAGAAGUCGCAGGACACAAGGACAAGAUCCAGGAGUGAAAACCCAAGGCCUUUCCGCCUUGAACCCAGAUCCAUUCUCUAACGCAAUGCAAGGCUCCCUCACAGACAGGACCCAGCUCCAUCUUCCUCCAGCCCAGGAGUGGACACACACACAGCUCCUUUCUCUCCUCAUUUCUUGGCCUUCUCACCCACACAAGUACCUGCUCCACCGCCCAGUUCCACCUCAACCCUGACCUCCACCUCCUGCAGCUCCCCUCCCCCUCGCCCCCAGCCCUGAGCCAGCAGCUCCGAACUGGAAAGCCCAUCCGGAGGCCCAGGGGACAGCAGCCCUGUCUAGGAACACUGGGCUGCCCCGGACUCUCCCCCUGACCGGACCUUGGAGCACUGCUGGCCUCGCCCCAGCCCUCACUCUCUGCCCAAGCUCCUAGGCUACACUUGGCCUUUCCUGCUCCUUCCUGGGAAUCCCAGCUCCACUCCAAGUGCUGGGCUGGGCUGAGGCAGAGCAGGCCCUCCUGCCUUGCUCAGCCAGGGAGUCAACCAGGACCCGCCCUCACUACCUGCAGGGGAUCUGCUUUUCAAUGUGGAUUGGGGUUCUUGAGAAUUUCCCCAGAAUGAGGCUGUACCUGGCCCCCUCUGCAUCCUGGGACUGCCAUCCCACCCUCCACCUCCCAGCAGGAGUGACCCAUUUGAAUUCCUAUUUCAUUCAGUAUGCAUGGAAUCCUAUUAAGGUCUGCCACCUGAAAUCACAAACAAUUUUAUUGAACAUUAAAAACUUCAAAAGUGA